AGCCCCUCUUGAAUUAUUUUAUUGUACUCACCAUCACCACCUCCUCAGGCAGAGAGUUCCAUAGUCUUACUGCUCUUACCGUAAAGAAUCCUUUUCUAUGUUUGUGUAAAAACCUUCAUUCCUCUAGACGCAGAGGAAGUCCCCUCGGCAC